AGAACCCCAGGCUCUCCCCACCUCUCUCCCAAGCUCGCAGAAUCUCCCCCUCUCCAGGCCGGUGCCCUCAGCUGUGCCUCUCUCCUAGCUCCAGGACUUGUCGCCCUCUACAUCUGGAUUAUCCAAUGCUUAAUAAUUGUUCAGCGCUGAGAUCAGUUCUUCAUGCCAUUGUGAAACAUUCCAUGGUCGUUACAAUCCAUCAUUUAUCAAACACAGGAAAAGGGAGCCAAAGUCAUGUAUUGUGACCUGUGAGAAGACAGACAAGAGAGGAUCAGAAUGAUUCCCCUUGAGACUUCCAAACAAGGAGGAGUUGGGAUUCAGCUAUUAAACCUUGUUUGGAAGUUACAAGGCAAUCUGGCAAGCCAAGGAAGGCAGUGAAAAGUUGCCUUUCAGAGAACAUCCCACCAGAGCUCAGAGUUUCUGCUUUUAAAAAGCCACCAGAGUUAUGCGGGUCUUUAAACAUCUUAACUUCUGGAUUAUUCCACUUCGACCCAUUGACCAGCCUCCUGAGAAAUGAGCUCCUGAAUCCAGAAUCAAAUCUGACAGCCUAAGUGCUACACUCCCUGGGAGCUGUUCUUCUGUAACAGAUCUGAAUAUAGAAGACUGAGUUCAAACCUUGAUUGCCUGGAAUUGAAGCUUCCAUGUAAAGAAUUGUUCUGGAACGUAGACUUAGUUCAAUCUCAGAUCCUAUGACCUGAGAAACCUUCAGAGAAUAAACCUCUAAGGUAAAGGUAUUUGUUUUACACAAAAAUACAUAUUUAUUUCUGAAUUGUUCCUACCACUUGUGGAUUUAGAUGAAUAUAACUCAAGAAUCUUUUGGAUAGUUAAAAAAAAACCCACAGUCUCAAAUUUAUGUAUUUUCUGCACUUCUUUCACUUAAUGGAUGUAAAGAUCAUUUAUUUAGUAGUGGGGAAAAGAGCAGACAUUGAUUUUUCAUUCGGAAAUAAUAUGGGCUUGAGUAACAGAGAAGAAGUGAUUUUCAGAUUUGAGGAACUGCCAACUAUUUCAGAAAUAAAUUAUUUCAAGAUCUUCAUUUUGUGGAUAAGGAAAUUGACACCUGGAAAGGUGAUAUGAUUGCCCAGGGUCAGAGAGAAGUCUAGUCCCAGAGCUGGAAUGAAUCUGUAUGUUUAGAUACUUUGUAGCAACAUAGGAUAUGUGUGUAAUGAUUUAUCAACGUGGAUCAAGUUGUUUGGUGGAGAGGGGCUUUCUGGGUUCUCGUAUACUAUGGAGACAUAUACAUAUGUGUGUGCAUGUGUGUGUGUCCAUAGUUAAUUUUCUACUUGUAUCAAACCUUUGGGGAACUCUUUUCUCAGUCCAAGGCACUAUCCAGUGACCUUGGACUAAAAAUUAAAUAUGAUAUUUAAAGUCUGCAUCUCAUUAUAUCUCUGGUUUUCUCACAUAGGAAUCACAACAGAGGGCCAAAUUGUUAGUUUUACCUUGAGGAAACAGUGAGGCAGGGGCAAGGAACAAGAGAAGGGAGCAAAAGAAGGGAGAAAAAUUCAUUUAAUUCUAGUCUUACUGUUCACUGAAAGUACCCUGAUAAAACCCAGAUAUCAUUGGGAAGGUUUGCACCUCAAGCUCACAUAGACAAAAAAUUUUUCUAUCAUUCCCUAAACUCCCUAGGUGUUCCAAUAUCUGGAGUCUUCCCAGCAGAUGUCUUAGUGGGUUAGGGUGUACGUCCAUAAUUCAUACCUGGAGUUAGUGAGAAAGGAACAGGAUGGACGCCUCGAAUAGAGAGGAAAAGAAAUAUUAUAUGGCAAGAAACAAGCUCCAAGCAGAGAGGUGAGAGAUCUUCAGAGAUUUCACAUUCUUGUCAGCUCUUGUGCCCACCCAUACUUCUUAAUUUCCAGGCUUCCUAACCCUUUCAGGUCCUCCUAUACUUCAGACUGCAAAUUAAUGAGAUCAUCUGAAGAAGAUUUUGUAGACAAGGAAAUUGACGCCUAGAAAGGCUAAGUAACUUGCCCAAGGUCACUAAGCAGGGGCAUUUGUAAAUGUGAUUUUGGAGUCUCUCCCAUUUAGGGGAUACUAACA